AACGAACGCUGGCGGCAUGCCUAACACAUGCAAGUCGAACGAAGGCUUCGGCCUUAGUGGCGCACGGGUGCGUAACGCGUGGGAAUCUGCCCUUGGGUUCGGAAUAACAGGAAGAAAUUCCUGCUAAUACCGGAUGAUGACGUAAGUCCAAAGAUUUAUCGCCCAAGGACGAGCCCGCGUCGGAUUAGCUAGUUGGUGAGGUAAAGGCUCACCAAGGCGACGAUCCGUAGCUGGUCUGAGAGGAUGAUCAGCCACACUGGGACUGAGACACGGCCCAGACUCCUACGGGAGGCAGCAGUGGGGAAUAUUGGACAAUGGGCGAAAGCCUGAUCCAGCAAUGCCGCGUGAGUGAUGAAGGCCUUAGGGUUGUAAAGCUCUUUUACCCGGGAAGAUAAUGACAGUACCGGGAGAAUAAGCUCCGGCUAACUCCGUGCCAGCCGCCGCUGUAA
rnacentral:rRNA from 1 species